GUUAAAAGGAGGUGUGGAGCAACACUUCAGAGCUGCUGCUGCUGCUUCCUGAUAGAGACCUCCUGGAGUGAAAGAGGGUGAGGGGCUACAUGUGCUUGUGAGCACCAGGGAACAAGAGUGAUUCCCCUGAGCUGGAGAGAGGACCAGAGAAACCACUCCCAGAGUGUGCCCAGAGAGGAUUCUGGGAUUUGUGGUCUGCUGAAAGCCAUUGAGGGCUAAACUCCACUGGAAUCUUUGGUACCAAAAUUCGAAUUUUGGUCCGAAUGAUGUCAUGACGCAAGCGUGAUGCCGGCGACAGUUGGAAGAUUCGUGAUGUCAGCGCCGGACACUUCGCCGCAACCCGGAAGAAACGCGCCAGGAGAUGUAAGUGAGGGUCAUCAAUGACCUCAGCAGCCAAGAUACUAUUGCUCUUUAAAACUACAGUUAAACAUUCAGUCCACUUUCCCCCCAUUAAUUACAGCAAAUUACAGCGCUAACACUGGCUCCCCCAACCUGACUGAACACAUUCCCUGUUAUUUUUCUCAAUCAGUUGUGUCUCACAGAGCAUUCUAUGAGACAAAUGCCUUUCCAGACAAUGUGCUAGCAUACCAGUGCAUUGUUUUCACUGUGGGAAUACAAACAGUUAACAUUGUAUCAGUGGUUUUUCUCCUCAAAUAGAAUCUUGCCCAUAAAUUUUCAAGUGAUAAACCAUAAAAUAACACAUCACCUUUGUGCCGUUAGUUAUACAAUUCUCUUAUAGAUUCACUGCAAUAUACUAUAAUAGAAACAACUUAUUGAUCUAUUG